UACGGAGGGUGCGAGCGUUUAUCGGAAUUACUGGGCGUAAAGCGUGCGCAGGCGGCUUCGCAAGUCAGGCGUGAAAUCCCCGGGCUUAACCUGGGAAUGGCGUCUGAAACUACGGAGCUGGAGUGUGGCAGAGGGAGGUAGAAUUCCACGUGUAGCGGUGAAAUGCGUAGAUAUGUGGAGGAAUACCGAUGGCGAAGGCAGCCUCCUGGGCCAACACUGACGCUCAUGCACGAAAGCGUGGGGAGCAAACAGG
rnacentral:rRNA from 1 species